rnacentral:rRNA from 1 species
GAUGAACGCUGGCGGCGUGCCUAAUACAUGCAAGUCGAGCGAACAGACGAGGAGCUUGCUCCUCUGACGUUAGCGGCGGACGGGUGAGUAACACGUGGAUAACCUACCUAUAAGACUGGGAUAACUUCGGGAAACCGGAGCUAAUACCGGAUAACAUGUUGAACCGCAUGGUUCAACAGUGAAAGACGGUCUUGCUGUCACUUAUAGAUGGAUCCGCGCCGCAUUAGCUAGUUGGUAAGGUAACGGCUUACCAAGGCAACGAUGCGUAGCCGACCUGAGAGGGUAGGCGACACCACGGGAACUGAGACGCGGUCCAGACUCCACGGGGGGGCACCAGAAGGAAUUCUCCCGCAAAGGGGGAAGGCGUAGCGGGACAGCGCCGCGGGAGAAAAAAGGGUCUUCGGAUCGUAAACCUUUGUUAUAAGGAAGAAAAAAAUGUGUAAAAAAAUAGGCACGUCUUGAGGGACCCUAACAAAAAGCCCACGGAUAACUCGGUG